rnacentral:rRNA from 1 species
AGCUCCAAUAGCGUAUAUUAAAGUUGUUGCGGUUAAAAAGCUCGUAGUUGGAUCUGCGUCCUAGGCUAGCGGUCCCCCAGCGGGUGGUUACUGCUAUGCCUGGACUAACCUCUCCGGUUUUUCCUUGGUGCUCUUCACUGAGUGUCUUGGAUGGCUGGAACGUUUACUUUGAAAAAAUUAGAGUGCUUAAAGCAAGCAGCUGGCUUGAAUAGUGGUGCAUGGAAUAAUGGAAUAGGACUUCGGUUCUAUUUUGUUGGUUUUCGGAACUCGAGGUAAUGAUUAAGAGGGACAGACGGGGGCAUUAGUAUUGCGACGUUAGAGGUGAAAUUCUUGGAUCGUCGCAAGACUGACUACUGCGAAAGCAUUUGCCAAGAAUGUUUUCA